CCUACGGGCGGCAGCAGUGAGGAAUAUUGGUCAAUGGACGAGAGUCUGAACCAGCCAAGUAGCGUGAAGGAUGACUGCCCUAUGGGUUGUAAACUUCUUUUAUAUGGGAAUAAAACGUUCCACGUGUGGGAUUUUGUAUGUACCAUAUGAAUAAGGAUCGGCUAACUCCGUGCCAGCAGCCGCGGUAAUACGGAGGAUCCGAGCGUUAUCCGGAUUUAUUGGGUUUAACGGGAGCGUAGGUGGAUUGUUAAGUCAGUUGUGAAAGUUUGCGGCUCAACCGUAAAAUUGCAGUUGAAACUGGCAGUCUUGAGUAUAGUAGAGGUGGGCGGAAUUCGUGGUGUAGCGGUGAAAUGCUUAGAUAUCACGAAGAACUCCGAUUGCGAAGGCAGUUCACUGGACUGCAACUGACACUGAGGCUCGAAAGUGUGGGUAUCAAACAGGAUUAGAUACCCGAGUAGUC
rnacentral:rRNA from 1 species